CCAAAGGCUCUUUUCAGAGCCACCACAUUUCUCACCUGAGAGGCUGU
rfam:Neotoma lepida isolate 417 scaffold_786, whole genome shotgun sequence.